rnacentral:rRNA from 1 species
AUGAACGCUGGCGGCAUGUCUCUAACACAUGCAAGUCGAACGGCAGCACGGUCGUAGCAAUACGAUGGGUGGCGAGUGGCGGACGGGUGAGUAAUGCAUCGGGACCUACCCAGACGUGGGGGAUAACGUAGGGAAACUUACGCUAAUACCGCAUACGUCCUACGGGAGAAAGCGGGGGACCUUCGGGCCUCGCGCGGUUGGACGGACCGAUGUGCGAUUAGCUAGUUGGUAGGGUAAUGGCCUACCAAGGCGACGAUCGCUAGCUGGUCUGAGAGGAUGAUCAGCCACACUGGGACUGAGACACGGCCCAGACUCCUACGGGAGGCAGCAGUGGGGAAUAUUGGACAAUGGGCGCAAGCCUGAUCCAGCAAUGCCGCGUGUGUGAAGAAGGCCUUCGGUAUGUAUUGCAAUUUUAUCA